UACGUAGGGGGGCUAGCGUUGUCCGGAAUCAUUGGGCGUAAAGAGCGUGUAGGCGGCCCGGUAAGUCCGCUGUGAAAGUCGGGGGCUCAACCCUCGAAAGCCGGUGGAUACUGUCGGGCUAGAGUGCGGAAGAGGCGAGUGGAAUUCCUGGUGUAGCGGUGAAAUGCGCAGAUAUCAGGAGGAACACCGAUUGCGAAGGCAGCUCGCUGGGACGUAACUGACGCUGAGACGCGAAAGCUAGGGGAGCAAACAGG
rnacentral:rRNA from 1 species